rnacentral:rRNA from 1 species
CCCUUAGAUGUUCUGGGCCGCACGCGCGCCACACUGAUGCAUUCAACGAGCCUAUCCUUGACCGACAGGUCCGGGUAAUCUUUGAAUCUGCAUCGUGACGGGGAUAGAUUAUUGCAAUUAUUAAUCUUCAACGAGGAAUGCCUAGUAGGCGCAAGUCAUCAGCUUGCGUCGAUUACGUCCCUGCCCUUUGUACACACCGCCCGUCGCUCCUACCGAUUGGGUGUGCUGGUGAAAUGUUCGGAUCGGCCGUUUGUCGCGGUUUCCGCGGCUCGUGGCUGAGAAGUUCAUUAAACCCUCCCACCGAGAGGAAGGAGAAGUCGUAACA